ACCUAGACCAGGGGCGUGAGGGCCAGGG
rnacentral:sRNA from 1 species